UCUGAUGAGCGAAAACACAAGCAGCUCGUUAAGGAACCAGCUGCGUGUUGUUGUUGUCUUCCAGGGGAAGAUUGUCACAGGUGCGCACAAAGCGACGCUCCAGCUGAAGGUCAAGUGCCAGAUCCUCCUCUGUCAUCGGGAUUUCAAAGUCCACAUGGUACUGGUCCACUCCUGCUAACCAGAAGGAGGAUUCUGCCGGGCGCCAUGACGACCAUCUGCUGGGACAGACUUGCAGUGUCUUCACGUCCUUCUGCUCUUGAAACUCUCUUUGCUCGGCCGGUCUGAGCAAACAUGUACAAUUGCUGUCCCUGCGUCGACACGGGGCCACGGGGCAAGAGGUCAUCGCCCGCCCACCCCCACCCCCCACCCCGCCCACAAGGACGUGGCGAUCGUUUUUUGGCAGGUCCUCAUCUGAGCCGACCACUCUGCAAGAAAAAAAGGAAGUCUGCGUGCUCCAUGGUCGUCCACUGAUGCGGCUGUCGCGGGCCCUCGUUCUUGCGGGACCCCGUGGAGCCUUUGGAGGAGGCCGUACCGGAUGAGCUGUGGCCACCGGGUGACGGGAAGGACGGUUUAUGGUAUGGCAGGCAUCCUUCCUCUGUGACGACACACAUGGGCACAGUGAAAUAAUAAGAUGCCAGUCCAACAAUCUGGGGCCCUCAAAGUGGACGUGUAAUAGGGCCCCUGGGCUUUGGUUACAAUAUUUGUUUUUUUGUCAUUUAAAUAUGUAAGUUAUAAAAAAAACUAUGUUCUAAAUGUUAUGGAAUGAAUGGAGUAAAAGUUCAAUAAUAA